rnacentral:rRNA from 1 species
UACGAAGGGGGGCUAGCGUUGUUCGGAAUUACUGGGCGUAAAGCGCGCGCAGGCGGUCUUCCAAGUCAGUGGUGAAAGCCCGGAGCUCAACUCCGGAACUGCCAUUGAAACUGUUGGACUUGAGUAUGAGAGAGGUGAGUGGAAUUCCCAGUGUAGAGGUGAAAUUCGUAGAUAUUGGGAAGAACACCGGUGGCGAAGGCGGCGACCUGGUCCUUUUACUGACGCUGAGGCGCGAAAGCGUGGGGAGCAAACAGGAUUG